rnacentral:rRNA from 1 species
GACGAACGCUGGCGGCGUGCCUAAUACAUGCAAGUCGAGCGAACCAAUAAGAAGCUUGCUUUUUGUUGGUUAGCGGCGGACGGGUGAGUAACACGUGGGUAACCUGCCUGUAAGACCGGGAUAACUCCGGGAAACCGGUGCUAAUACCGGAUAGAUUAUCUUUCCGCAUGGAGAGAUAAGGAAAGAUGGCUAUUGCCAUCACUUACAGAUGGGCCCGCGGCGCAUUAGCUAGUUGGUGAGGUAACGGCUCACCAAGGCGACGAUGCGUAGCCGACCUGAGAGGGUGAUCGGCCACACUGGGACUGAGACACGGCCCAGACUCCUACGGGAGGCAGCAGUAGGGAAUCUUCCGCAAUGGACGAAAGUCUGACGGAGCAACGCCGCGUGAGCGAAGAAGGUCUUCGGAUCGUAAAGCUCUGUUGUUAGGGAGGAACAAGUAUCGGAGGAAAUGCCGGUACCUUGACGGUACCUGACGAGAAAGCCACGGCUAACUACGUG